rnacentral:rRNA from 1 species
GUGCUUGCACUGUGAAUUAGCGGCGAAAGGGAGAGUAACGCGUGGAUACGUACCCUCAGGACUGGGAUAGCGUCGGGAAACUGGCGGUAAUACCGGAUAAUGUCCCUGGACCAAAGGUGUGAUUCCGCCUGAGGAGCGGUCCGCGUCCUAUUAGGUAGUUGGUGGGGUAAAGGCCUACCAAGCCGAAGAUGGGUACCGGGUGUGAGAGCAUGGCCCGGCUCACUGGGACUGAGACACUGCCCAGACACCUACGGGUGGCUGCAGUCGAGAAUCUUCCGCAAUGGACGCAAGUCUGACGGAGCGACGCCGCGUGCGGGAUGAAGGCCUUCGGGUUGUAAACCGCUGUCAGAGAGGCGGAAAUGCAUGGUGGCUAUCCAUCAUGUUUGACCUAAUCUCAGAGGAAGCGCAGGCUAAGUUCGUGCCAGCAGCCGCGGUAACACGAACUGCGCGAACGUUAUUCGGAAUCACUGGGCUUAAAGAGUUCGUAGGCGGCUUGGAAAGUUGGGUGUGAAAUCCCUCGGCUCAACCGAGGAACUGCGCCCAAAACUUCCAAGCUUGAGGGAGACAGAGGUGAGCGGAACUGAUGGUGGAGCGGUGAAAUGCGUUGAUAUCAUCAGGAACACCGGUGGCGAAGGCGGCUCACUGGGUCUCUUCUGACGCUGAGGAACGAAAGCUAGGGUAGCGAACGGGAUUAGAUACCCCGGUAGUCCUAGCUGUAAACGAUGAGCACUGGAUCGAGGGGACUCCCACAUCCUCUCGGUCGAAGCGAAAGUGUUAAGUGCUCCGCCU